GCAUCAUGUUUUUUUUUUUGUACAAUAUGGCAUUAACAUUUGUUAAAUUAUUUUAAUCCUUGUGUAGGUCCUGGUGGUAGUGGAGGAGCUACAGGACUUGGUCUACAGGGUCAGGUAGGUACCGGUCCAGCAGGAGGAUUUGGCACGGGGACAUGGCCAGUUGGUGGUUAUGGUCCAGGGACUGUAGGAGGCCAUGGGUCUGGGUUUACAGGAGCAGGACUUCCUGGUAGUGCUGUCGGAGCAGGAAGCAGAGGAGGGCUUGGGCCUGGGUAUGGAACAGGUGCUGGAGGAUAUGGACCUGGAUCGAAAGCAGCUAAAUAUGGCAAGUUGAAACACACUACAUACACUUACAUGUAUAUUGCAAGUGGCUCUUGAUCAUUG
rnacentral:lncRNA from 1 species